rnacentral:rRNA from 1 species
UACGGAGGGAGCUAGCGUUGUUCGGAAUUACUGGGCGUAAAGCGUGCGCAGGCGGUUUUGUAAGACAGAUGUGAAAUCCCCGGGCUUAACCUGGGAACUGCGUUUGUGACUGCAAGACUCGAGUACGGCAGAGGGGGGUGGAAUUCCACGUGUAGCAGUGAAAUGCGUAGAGAUGUGGAGGAACACCGAUGGCGAAGGCAGCCCCCUGGGUCGAUACUGACGCUCAUGCACGAAAGCGUGGGGAGCAAACAGG